UCUAAGUACCCCGAGGAAAAGAAAUCAACCGAGAUUCCCCCAGUAGCGGCGAGCGAACGGGGAGCAGCCCAGAGCCUGAAUCAGUAUGUGUGUUAGUGGAAGCGUCUGGAAAGGCGCGCGAUACAGGGUGACAGCCCCGUACACAAAAAUGCACAUGCUGUGAGCUCGAUGAGUAGGGCGGGACACGUGGUAUCCUGUCUGAAUAUGGGGGGACCAUCCUCCAAGGCUAAAUACUCCUGACUGACCGAUAGUGAACCAGUACCGUGAGGGAAAGGCGAAAAGAACCCCGGCGAGGGGAGUGAAAAAGAACCUGAAACCGUGUACGUACAAGCAGUGGGAGCACGCUUAGGCGUGUGACUGCGUACCUUUUGUAUAAUGGGUCAGCGACUUAUAUUCUGUAGCAAGGUUAACCGAAUAGGGGAGCCGAAGGGAAACCGAGUCUUAACUGGGCGUUAAGUUGCAGGGUAUAGACCCGAAACCCGGUGAUCUAGCCAUGGGCAGGUUGAAGGUUGGGUAACACUAACUGGAGGACCGAACCGACUAAUGUUGAAAAAUUAGCGGAUGACUUGUGGCUGGGGGUGAAAGGCCAAUCAAACCGGGAGAUAGCUGGUUCUCCCCGAAAGCUAUUUAGGUAGCGCCUCGUGAAUUCAUCUCCGGGGGUAGAGCACUGUUUCGGCAAGGGGGUCAUCCCGACUUACCAACCCGAUGCAAACUGCGAAUACCGGAGAAUGUUAUCACGGGAGACACACGGCGGGUGCUAACGUCCGUCGUGAAGAGGGAAACAACCCAGACCGCCAGCUAAGGUCCCAAAGUCAUGGUUAAGUGGGAAACGAUGUGGGAAGGCCCAGACAGCCAGGAUGUUGGCUUAGAAGCAGCCAUCAUUUAAAGAAAGCGUAAUAGCUCACUGGUCGAGUCGGCCUGCGCGGAAGAUGUAACGGGGCUAAACCAUGCAC
rnacentral:rRNA from 1 species